CGCUGGCGCCUGGCUCUCACAAUGAUGAAGAAGUUUAAGGUGGAUUUCGAGCUCGAGGUACCCUUCGUCAGUGGGGUCCUCUUCUUCAAGAUGUGGCUGCUGGACGGCGGCAGCUUCACUGCGGAGUCCUCCAGGUAAGUCGCCCUCCGUGCCUCAGGCGCCUCCAGAGCCCUGCCUGAGCAGCCUUGGCUGGUUCAUGGACAGCAUCCCUUCCCUUGGCCCCUUCAUUCCAGCUGGGCAGCUAGCCUUGUGAGCUCCCUGUCCUGCAGGGACCCAUCGGAAACCAGUUAGGAAUGUAUCCAUCAGCACAAAAUGAUUCACAAAUGGGUUUAACUAGGUUGGCCUUGGCUUCUGCAUUCCUGGCUCCAAAUGGUUCCUGGUGACAGCUCUUUCCUCCCAAUUCUCUAGGAAUGGGAGCAAUGGCCAAAGGGAGAGAGAGGAUGCUUCUUGUUUCCUUUAAGACAUUUCCCUAUUUGUAAAAUACAAAGUGGAAUUGGAGCUGUUGUUAAAAACAAAAAGCAUCCCAGCUGCUCUGAGUUCUAAGAACGCCCCCUGUGAACAGCCUGUGCUUGGUGUCACUCUUCUUUUUGGUGGGCUAGGAGGGGUUUUGUGUGCCCAGAUUGAGGCUGAGGUAGGCCAGGACGGCCUUAAUUUAAGGCAAGUGUUCCAAGCAGAUGAGGCAACAGUCCAUGAGACUGUAGAUUGCAUCUCCAGCUCAUCUAAUUACCUGUCUUGAAGUGACCACUGUGAGUCUCAAUGUGGGGGACUUAGAACCAGGAGGGGAUCCCAAACUCUGUGCUCAUUUUGAAAUGAGCCUCUCCCUGUGCGCCCUGUGCGCUCUCUGGGAGAGACAUUAAUAGGUUCCAGAAUGCAGCCAGGUGUGGCAAUGUUCCUUGAGUAAUUUCAGGGUUAUUCACAGACUGACAGAUUUGCCCUAGGGUGUUUUUCUAUUUUCUUCAAAAGAAAAAAACCCAAAAAGUUUAUCACUGAAUUUUUGAGUUCUUGAGGUCAAGGAGAAGGGUUAAUGAUGUUUGUUUAACCCAAAUAUAUAUAUAUAUAUAUAUAUAUAUAUAUAUAUAUAUAUAUAUCACAGACUUUAUUUUUACACUAAAAAUAUUGUACUUUCUUUUUUAUCUGUCAUCCCAUUAAAAUUGUAGAGGAAAUAAUGUCAAUGCAUUGUGGAAUUGGAGCCAGAAAAUUGUCCACUGUGGCAAUAUUGAAGAUUAUGGCAGCCCGAUAAUGUCUGGUUGGCUAAAGCAAAGGAUGUGUAAAGCACUAUUGAUUCUCAAAAUUAAUAAAUAUUCCACUGAGGAUAAUUUUAAAAAUUAACAUUGGUAACAAAUCUGAGGAUAUUCAGCUAAUUAAUUAUAGUACAUAAUUUUUAGCACACCUGUAAGAGAAUAAUGAAUGGUGCAAAUAAUAUGUAUGUGUGUUUGUGUGUGUGUGUGUGUGUGUGUGUGUGUGUAAUACCAGCUCCCAAGGUUCGGAAAAGCCCAUAUCAAUUCUGAGUGUACUGUAGGUGAAAGUGACAGUCUUGUUUUGCUGCUAGGUUCUACCCCCCUACCUGGAGCAGAUAGGUGAGUACUCCUGGCAAUGGUGACACCUGGUGGUCAGGACGCUUGCUGGCUACCUUUUGAAUAUAAUUCUUUCUUUCUUUCUUUUUCUUUUUUUUUUUCUUCUUCUUCUUUUUUUUUUUUUGUACAGGUGCUUGAAAUCAGGAGUACUGGACCACUUAGCCACAUUCCCAGCUCUAUUCUGUAUUUUAUAUUUAUACACAGGGUCUGGCUGUGUUACUUAGGGCCUCACCAUUGCUGAGGCUGGCUUUGAACUCACAAUCCUCCUAAAAUAUACUAGCCUAUUUAAUUCUCACAGCAAGCCUAGGGAUCCCCAUUUUUUGAAUAAAUAAUUCAAAGUCCCCACAGAUGAUAUGCGUAAUGCCGAGAUUGUGAUACAGGUGUAACAUCAAACAGGGUGAUGCCAGAUAAAAGGAGAAAGUGUGUUCUAUGCUGAAGAGUUUCUAAAUAGGCAGCUUCCUAAUGGUUUUAAAGUGCAGUGGAUAUCAUUUCAUUUGUCCUCUGCAAGAGUUGGAAAGGAAAAACUGUGCUGUGAUAAGCUUCACCCUUUUUCUUCCAACUAAAAUGUGGCUUUAAUCAAGUUAAACAGUGUUAAGCAUAUUGCUUGAUUUUUUCUUCCUUUUUUUUCCCUUUUAGGCUGAGCAGAGAAUGAGAAAACUCUGAUUUUUGAUUUAUCCCCCCCUCUUCAUCCUCAAUUCUUUUUAAAUUUAUUUUAAAAUUUAUUUUUGUAGUUGUAGAUGGACAGAAUGCCUUUGUUUAUUUUUAUGUGGUGCUAAGGAUUGAACCCAGUGCCUCACACAGGCUAGGUAACUGCUCUGCCACUGAGCUACAGCCCCACCCCUCCUCCUCAGUUCUUAUCAUUACAAAAUUUGUAUUUAUGAAAAAAAAAAAGAAUAGUGUUUGGUACAGCCAAACAAACAAAGAAAGAGAAUUUGAGGGAAACGAUUCAAAAUAAGAAGUAUGUGCCUUUGAAGUUAGGUAGAGAGAGUUAGCAUAAAGCUAAGAACAAGAGUUUGGAAUGUGGUAGGUUUAAGCCUAAUCCCAGUUCCACCAUGGUAGAUCUGGGUGUGGUUACUUAGGCUCUCAAAGUUAAAAAUCUGUAAAAUUGAAACAGUCACUGACACUUGAGGCUAUUUUGAGGAUUUAGUAAGUUGAUGUGCCUAAGAUGUGCCCAACAGUGCUUUGGCAUCUAGUUGGCACUUAAAGAGGAGAUGACAAACUUAUUCGAAAAGGUCUGCUUGCUUUUACAAGGGAAAAAAGAAAUCCUGAAAUACCAGUGGUAAGUAAAUUAUUUCAAAAUUGCAUAACUCUUACCUAGUGGAUGCCAGUCUAGGAAUGCAACUGUGAUUAAAUGCUAGGUUUUAAUUUCUAAAAAUCCAUUUGUGGGACCCUUUUAAAUCUGAAACAUUAAACACUGUAACAUUUCUCCCUUAAAAAAAUGUGAAAUCAAUAAUAUGUAAAAGAUAUAAUAAAGCUCACUCAAGACUGCUGUCUUUAGAAAGGUUUACCAGGUUGUUCUUGGCUAGUGUCUGGGAACCUGAGUGGUAAAUAGUUCUAUACCUGAUAUAAAACUUCAUCUAAAUGAUACAAGCUGCUCAAUGUGCCUAGACUGCACAAAGUGUGAUUCUUGAUAAACACCUUCGGAGAGUCAUGCAUUUGGGUCCAUUAAGCAAAAAGUGCUAAUGUAACCAACCUAAUAAAAACCUUCAGCACUGAGUCUCUAAUGAGUUUUCCCAGUAGACAACACAUGCCACAAUUUGAUGCUAAAGAAAUUGUGCCUGAGUCUGCUUAGUAUCCUGCUGCUGUAAUAAAUCAUAGCCAUAAAACAACUCUAUGCUGAGUCCUGUGAGUUCUCCUGGGGAAUCUCCAAACCCAGGGAUGGUCUUAGGAACCUCCCUACAUGAACUAAUGUGAAACAAUAUUUGUUUGUUAGAGAAAAGUCUUGGAGAUAUAUAGAAAGUUCUCAUCUCUUACACACAUAUACACACACACCAAACACUUGUCUUUGUAUAAAACCUAAACAUGCAGAUACUUCAUUUUUCACCAAAUAUUAAUUGUGCAUUUACCUGUUUCUAGCUGUUAGGAACAGUGAGAAGUACAACAAUAAAGGGUCCACAAAAAUUACCUCAAGUUAAUAAAAAUAAUUAUAAUUAUUUGUCAGUAGGAGACAGUAUGACUUGCUGCCCUGUCUAUGGGUCAGACAAUAUGUGAGGGUUGUAGAAGUUAUAAAGGAAAAGAGUUCAUUUACAACUGUACUGGUUACUGAAAAUUGUAUUUGCAUUUUAGUUGAGCAUGCUAGGAGGAUGAAUUUCUUCAGGGAAUGUUUGCUCAGUGAAGAGGUUAAAAAGAAAUAAGACUAAAAGGUAUUUAUUUGUAAUGAAUGAAGUUGUUAUUAUAAUUUUGGUACUGGGAAUUAAACCCAGGGGUGAUUAACCACUGAGCCUCAUCCCCAGCCAUUUUUAUGUUUUAUUUUGAGACAGGGUCUUUUUAAGUUGCUUAGAGCCGCACUAAAUGCUGAGUCUGACUUUGAACUUGGGAUCCUCCUGCCAUAACCCCCCAUGCCCCCAGUCAUUGGGAUUACAGGGGAGAGCCACAGUAUCCAACUAUAAUUGUUAUUAAAAUGGUCAGGGUAAAUGGUUAGAUUUUACAUAACCACAAUUAUUAUAAAAUUUGGAAAAUACCUUGUACAAUUAUAUUGGUCUAUUCACCUGAAGCCAAAUUCUUGCAUAAUAAAAUAGUUUCAAAUAUCUCUUAGACAAAAUAUUAUACUUUUUGAAUCUUUUUAGAGUUCUUCUUUUGUAAACAUUUAAAUCACUUUUGAAGUUUUAUUAAGAGUGUCAGGAUAAAUUUAAUUCUCUUCUGUUUAAAUAAAGGAAGAAUUUUUUUCUACAUUUUUUAGGCCAGUUUUCCCUAUUUCUUCAUCUGUAUUGGUGAGUGGGUGCUAAUAGCUAAAGUAAUUUUUCAUAUUUCACAUGAGUUUGUGGCAAAAACACAUGUGAAUUCAGGAAGUGUCCAGGAAGCUAUUGAACACGUCUGUGUAUUGGAUCUUUUACUUUGUAAACAAGCUAAAAAGAUUUCUCUCCUUUUUUGGUCAAAGACUGUCUUUAUGUUUUCAAGAUUUUAUUUUUUUAACUUGUAUAACAAAUAUUUAUUAUUUUAACUAAAUUAUUCAUUCCAAUUUGGUAAACAUGAUGGCAGAAUACAAUAUAUUUCAUAUUACAUAUAUAGAGCACGAUUUUUCAAGUCAUUGAUUGUACACAAAAUAUUUCACACUGUUCAUGUCUAUAUACCUGUACUUAGGGUAAUGAUUUCUAACUCAUUUCACCAUCAUUUCUACCCCCAUGCCCCCUCCCUGUUUUCAAGAUUUUAACUCACUUCAUUGUUUAUUUCUUUUUAGUAAUUUUCCAUACUACAAAAGUUAUAUAGACUCAUGUGGAAAACUUAGAAAAGCAAAAAAAAAAAAGAACAAAAAUUGCACGUAAAUGAACAAUCCAGAAAUAAACACUAUUACCGAUAUUUUGGUGUAAGACCUAGGAACCUGUAUCAGUCCCCACAUAUACAUACAUACAUAGACAUAUAUGCAUUUCCCCUCCACAAUCAUCAGGAUUUUUAAAAAGAGAUCAUAAUGUAAUUAAUACAUUUUUUUGACAUCUAUAUCAUUAAAUAUUCAAUGUUAAAGUGCUUUAAAAUUAGCAUACUAUAGUGAUCCAUGCAUACCAAAGUUUUUAUCAGUGCAGUGCAAAAUAGCAGAGUAAUGGAACCAGUCUAGGUGCUCAUCAGCAGAUGAAAGGAUAAAGAAAAUGUAAUAUAUAUAAUGGAAUUCUACUCAGCCAUAAAGAGGGAUGAAAUCAUGGCAUUUGUGAAGUAAACGAGACUCAGAAAAUCAAGGGCAAAUGUUUUCUCUCAUAUGCUGAAGCUAGAGCAAAAUAAGGGGGAAAAGGCAGGGGCCCCAUGCAAAUAGUAGGGAGACCAAUGUAGUAGAAGAGGAGGAUUGAAGGGAAGGAGGAGGGACUGUAAAAGGGAGGAUGCAGAAUAAAUUGACCAAAUUUAUUAUCUGUACAUAUAUGAUUGUACCAUGAUGAGUUCCACCUUUAUGUGCACAUAUAAAGCACCAAUUUAAAAAACAGUAAAUACGUAGAAGGAAGAUCAGCAGAGCAGAGGAAGGGAAUAGAGCCAGGGAAGAGGGGAGGGAAAGAGAAAGUAUCUGGGACUGAAAUGGAGCAAAUUGCAUUCCAGUCAUGUAUGAUUGUAUCAGAAUGAACUCCACUAUUAUGUAUAAUUAUAAUGUGCUAAUAAAAAUGAAAAUGUUUUAAAUAGAUGCAUAUCAUUCUAUUUUAUUAAUUUUCAUGAUUUAUUGUACCAACCAUUUUGUAGCAGUCGGGUUCUUGUUAUUUUGAGAUGCUGGGUAUUGGACCUCUACAUCUGGGCCAUAUCCCCAGCUCUUUUUUUCCUUUGUGAUUAAUAGUUUUAUAAAUAAACCAUCUUAAGCAUCCAUAUAGCCCAAAUUGGUGCAUGAUUAUUUAGGAUUAACAAUUAGAAAUGGAAAUAUCUAGUAAUGCAUGCAUGUUUUUAAAACAUUUGACAUAUACUGCCAGUUCACCUUUUGCAUUAAAUUGAGUUUUGAUGAUGAAAAAAAAAAAACUAAUAAAUAUCAAAUAUCAAAAGUAACCAAUAUUAGAAAAUGCUGUUUGACCAUAUGACAGAUAAUUGUUUACACCCUGGCUCCAGCAAUGGCCCUUCUGGGUAUAUAUCCAAAGGCAAUUAAAUCAGUAUGGUGAAGAGACGUCUGCACUCCCACAUUCAUUGCAACAUUAUUCACAAUAGCCAAGACACUGAAACAUCCUGUCUGUAACAGAUGAAUGGAUUUUUAAAUUGUGGUAUAUCCAAUGGAAUAAUAUUCAGUCUUUAAAAAGAAAUAAAUCCUGUCAUUUGUGACAAGGUGGAUGAACCUGGAGGACAUUGUGCUAAAUGAGGUAAGCCAGGCAUAGACAGUGCACAUGUGUAACAUGAAAAAGGCCAACUCCUGGAAGCAGAGAAUAGAAUGUUGGUCUCCAGAGCAUAGGGGUGGGAGGUAUGGGGAAUUCCUAAUUUCUGUUAAAAUGAAUAAGUCCCAGAGAUAUAUUGUGUAUCAUAAUUAUUAGAGUUAAUGUACAUUUAGAAAUUGCUGAGAAUGGAUGAUAAAUGUUCUGAGAACAAAAAACAAGUGAAUUGGUGAAAUUAUUAAUUGAACCAUUUCACAAUGUACACAUAUAUCAAAACAUCAUUAUACACCAUGUAAUAACACAUUAUGAAACAAAUAUAUAAUUGAGUGCAUAAUUUUUGGUCAACUAUAUAUUAAUAUAAAUAAAGAUGUAAGAAGAACUCUUUAUAUCCUCACUGGAAAUGGAAUCAUCAGUUCACUUUAUUAUAAUAGCUGUGAUCUACUAAUAGCUAACACUUAUCUUAGCACUUUCCUAAUAUAUAUAUAGUUUUUCAAUUAAAUUAUAUGUAUAUGAUCAUGUGUAUGUAUAAAAGUACAAAUUACUCAUUCAUUAAACACCUUCUGAAUACCUAGUAGGCACCAGAUAUUGGGAAGGGUGUUAGGAAUCUCUAGUAAUGAUGACAUCAUUACUGGGAAUUAAACAGUAAACUUUUCUCUGGAGCCUUCUAUGAGGUAGGCAUGGAACAGGAAUCCUCCACCUAAUUUAGUUCCCAUUUUAUAACGGAAGAACAAAGAAUUAGAGAAAAUGUCUAAUGCAAAUGAUCAUCUCUAUUUGCAAAGGAGUUAACUAACUUAUGGUAUGUUAGGCUCAAAAACGUGUCCAGCUAUGUCACACUGUCCUCAUAGAGAAGACAGAUGUACUUUCCCCAAAGACCAAAGGUCACAAAGGACAGUAGAUGUUCGGAGAGUGAGGAGACACCAUGGUACAUGCUGUCCUCCAGUAUUGGUCUGACCCUUCACAGAUCUCUAACAGAGAAGGGUCAGACCAAUACUACAAGGUCCAUGGAUUUUCUCGUGCAUAUUUUCUCUGUCUCCAAUGCUUUCUUUUAAGUCUCUUCCUUCUGGGACUGUGAAGUUGACUUAGUCAGGCUGCUCUGGCCUGCAGGUCACAGGUGCAGAGUCCGCAGGACUCACUGGAUGCAUGUGGUGUUAGGCUGCCCCGGAGCCAGUGUAGGGCAGAAGAGCACAAACCUGCUCAGCACACCUCCUAGCCAGACCAGACUCCCUCAUGGUGGGAUACUAACAGAAUGACCAGGGGUCAGAGAGGACAGAGUCUGUUUGUUUAUCCAGCAGCACCCCAGUGGAAUCGGCCACUCUUUUCUGCUGAUCUCAUCUUUUCAUCUCUUCCAAGGCCUAAUCAGUUUAGUUUUCUUUAAGUUGUGUUUAUGUUAGUCAGAAGAAGUGGCUGUUGGUGACCAAAGAACUCAAUUAACAGAGAGUAUCUACGUGCUGGAGCAACCGAGUUCUCCACAGGGGUCUCUUCCUUUAAUUGUUAGCAAAAGCAGAUGUGGUAGAAAGGAAAUUAUGGACUCUACAUGAGAAAGCUGGGGCACAGAGAUGUCAGGUCAACUUCUCCAUGCCACACAGCUAGGCAGUGAUGGAGCAGUGACUCAAACUGGGGUCUGUCAGACCUCUGAGUUCACAUCCGGAGCCUUCCUGCAGUCACCACCUUAGUGAAAUGUCAGGUGCACACAGCGCUAUGGGGCCAGGGAGAUGGAUGUAGUCAACCCAGCUAAUGGAUCAAGAGGGACCUUGCUGCCCAGCUGAAAUCCAUCAGAUGCAUCCACAGAGAGGGGACAGGUGGGCCAAGCACACUAGGUGACCAAGUUAGGAAGGACAUCACAAGCAGAGGGCCUGUCCGCGAGACCUGGUCUCUUGCUGGUCUUCAAGAGACCAGGAAGACAGAUGGCCCAGCACUAGUUGAUUCGUGGCCCAUCCCCCUUGGAAUGAGGUUCUGCAUUAACUGGCUUCUGACGUUUUUCCCCGACUCUUAGGGUUCAGGCAAGCAGUCUCUAUCUUAUCCCCCACCUCUCGGUGACCUGUUCUUGUGCCUGCUUCUUCCUGGGCAUCCGAUUACCUGCUGUCUGAAUCCACCAGCCACCUCUGCCUCAGGGGUCACUGGAACCACUGCCUGUUUAGGGGGUGUUCAUGGAAAGCUCACAGGGUCCUUGGGGAGAUGGGCUCCAGGAACCCCUAUCAGAUGGGCCAUGAACCAACCAUGCAGGGCCCAGGGCUCCUUCAUGGAAGCCAAUGGACCAUCCCAGACUCACAGAAUAAAGGCUUGUUUGAACCCUUUUUGAAAACACACUGUUUGCUUUCUACACAUGCACUACUGGGGAUUUCUCCAGGAUUUUGUUCAGUUGAUGCCCACGGUUAAAUUUUCAGCUUUGGAAUGAACUCAGAGGUGUUGAAUUGGAGUAGGUUUUGGACUUAAACUUCAAACAGCUUCACAAAGGAUGCUUUCUGGGGAAGAGCAGCUGCUCCCAGAGGCUUUGCUGCCACCUUUCCGGCUCCUCCCAUGAGCAUCUUCUCUCUUUCCUGAUGGCUUACCUGACCACCUUUCAGUGGGACAUGAUGGUGACAGCAUGCAGGCUGUCAGCCAGAGGACUGGACACAGGGGUCAGAAAGCAAGCACUGGAGUUAUUUUGGCGGGCUUUCCUUGAAAAGGCCCUUGGAUUUAGGGGGCCAACACGUUGAUCUUGGUUCCUACUGGAGGUCAAAGUCACUACUAUGGAGCUGGGAACAGUCAUGUGGAUCCUAGGCUUGGUGCUGAGGACAGCUGCUCUGCUCUCUGUGUUCGUCUUACUCUGGUCCAUGCCCAAGAGGGGUGUGUCCAUUGUGUGGAACCUGAUGGCAAGGUGCAAGGCGGCUGGGCCCGGCUUCUUGAACAGAUCAUGGUCUAGAACUCGUGGUCCAACUGCAGUCAGUUCUGCUGACCAGUGUCAUCUAUGAACGUUAUUCCAAAGUACUCCUUUUGUUUCAGGUUGAAGUGUGAAGCCACAAGGUCCAGCAGAUCUCUUGACAGAACUUUGGGCUGAACCAGCAGCUCCAGCCUUCUGUCAUCCAGGAGGUGCACCUGUAGUGCCUGUCCUCUGUCAUCUGGUACACAUCCGCAGCCCGCACAAGUCCGCAGCACCUGGUGGCAAGCCCGCAGCCGCUCCCUGGACCAUCUCCGCAGAGUGGACACUGUCAGGUUCCACACGAAGGGGCUGCUGGUGAACAGCAGGUCCUCCACGCAGUACAGGAACACCGAGGCCAUCCUCUUGGCUGCAGCCGAUGUCCCCACCACCGUCCCAAAGCCACCUCCGCGGGCAGCAGUGUCAAGCCUGUUGCCUGCCUGGUCUACAGUGUGCAUCCCGGCCGGUUCUGGGCGACAUGCCAUGGGAUUGGGCACCGGCCAGCCAAAGGCGGUGGCUGGCACUGGCGGCCUGCCUGUGCACUGCCCGCCCGCAGUGCUCAGCAGGCUGCGCUAAGCUCCACCAACUCCUAAUAUAUUUUUAAGUCUUUACGUUACUCCUCAAAAUAAUCCUAUGAGGAAGUACUAAUAUUUUCUCAUUACUAUUGCUAUUAUUACCAUUGUUGUUGUUAUUACUCUCAUUUUAUACCUGAAGAAAUAGAAACACAAAGAAUUGUUGAAAAGUCAGCUAGUAAGUGCAGAGCCAGGAGGCAGGCAGGCUCCAGGGUCCAUUUUUAAUCACUAGACUUUAAUGAUGCUUACGUUUGGGUUGUAGGCUUUCUCAGCUUUAUGUUUUAGAAAACCAAUACAUAAAUCUAUGUAGUAUGAUUUUUCCUGAAUGUUAAUUAUAGGAAAUUGGUUCCAAUAUGUGAUACCACUAAAUGGGUUAGUAGACCUGGACCAUUUACAUUUGCCUCACGAUAGUCAUAUAUAAAAGAUAAAAAAACAUAAUACUCAUGCAUAUACUCUAUUUUUCAAGCUGUGGCUUUCUACUUCUAAGUCUGCAAUAUUCAGUCUCAUUCCCAGGUAUUCAUGCCUUGUAAAACUUUUGCUAAUGCCAUUUUAUGCCACUAAGUUAAUAUUCCCCAUUAUAUCAUUAAACCAUGCACACAAGGCAGGAGAAUAUGAAAUUCAAAACACGUUUGGGCAACUUGGACACGACUCAAAAUUUUAAAAAGGGCUAGAAUGUGGCUCAGUGGUAAUAUACACUGAAUUCAGUUCCUUAGUACAAGAGAAUGGGGGAGAGAUGAAGGUCUUUAAAUGCUGAGAAUUGAAUACACACACACACACACAUAUACAUGCUUAUGUAGUAUAUAAAAUAAAAUAUACACGUAUAGUCUAGCUCAUAUAUAUAUACUAUAUAUGCAUAUAUAUACAUGUAUAUUUUACAUUCCUAAUUUUACCCAAUUCUUACAAAAACCCUUUAACAGAAGUAAAAAAAAAAAUCAUUGCUACUCUUCUUGGAUUAGCAGAUAUGUCAUAACACAUUUUUAAAAUUUUUACUGUUAAGGAAAUUAUCAGAAUAAGGGUUUAGAACAAGAAAAAUAUUCAGAAAAGACCAUUCAUCCUAUUACAUGAGAAAUAAUUGAAGUGCUAGAUAGUUUAGGAACUGUCUCAUAGAAAAUAAGUAGAUCUGGGGCUGGGAUUAUGGCUCAGUGGUAGAGCUCUCACCUCCCACAUGUAAGGCCCUGGGUUCGAUCCUCAGCACCACGUAUAAAUUAAAUAAAAUAAAGUUAAAAAAAAGAAAAAUAAAAGAAGUAGAUCUGACCUUACUGUCACAAGAGCACAAAACGAGGACCAAUAGGUGGGAGCUCCAGGGGAGUAGAUUUAUAAUCAACCUAAAGAGCACGUCCCAAUUCUUUGUAUUUACUGGACAUUGAAUGGGUUUCUUUGAGAGGAUGGUGGAGUCCUAAGCACUGACUGAAUAACUGUUCUGGUAAAUGUUGAAGAGAGAAACUUUGGAAGUUUUUUUAAAAAUACAUUUUUAGUUGAAAAUGGACACAAUAUUUUUGUAUGUAUUUAUUUUUAUGUGGUGCCAAGGACUGAACUCAGUACCUCACAAAUGUGAGUCGAGUGCUCUAUCACUGAGCUACCACCCCAUUCCAGAACCUUUGCAAGUUUGCUAAGUAUUCUGUUCCCCUAUCUCUGCAGUAGAUUAAAUACCUGUGGAACUCAGAAGUGAUCAUAUGACUUUCUCUGACCAAUGAGAUGUGAGCAAAAGUGAUAUCUGCCAUUUCCUGGCAGAAGGUUUAAGAGAAAUGAUGCAGUUUGCUGUGUCUCUUUUCCUUUACUACAAACAGCUGUCCAUGUGUGGUCAACCUGGACACUAAAUGAAUAUGGUAUGGUUCAGAACCUCAGGUGACCUCCACUAGACAUUAACAUGAACAGAAACAAACCCUUGGAUGAUUUUUGAACCAUUAGAAUUUGGGGGUUGCAUAUAAAUUGAAGUAUAAUGGACCCUAUCCUGACUGAUACAGAUUCUUCUUGAUUUAGGUGACCCCUAAAACCAAUCCUAUACAUGAAGUUUUCAGGAUGUGAUAUCAUCUGCAGUAUUUUUUAGUUCCUUACUUCCUGUUUUUCUUCCUUAUAGUUGAGUUGUAAUUGUGAAAGCUUAUAGAGUCAAAAAAAAAAAAUCAUGAAUUGUUGGAUUGUAACUCAGUAGUAGAAUGCUUGUCUCGUAAGCAUGAAGGCCUGGGUUUUUUCCCCAGGACACCCCCCCACACAUACACAACAUACAAGAAUCAUGAAUUGUCAAAGUUACCCUUGAAAAUAAUGAGAAACACCCACAAAACCAAAACAAUAAAUGCAGUAGUAUAUGCAUACCUGUCAGUAUUAUACAUAAAUUUACAAUGAAGUUGUUGGAUUAUUUUUUAAGGAUAAUGUUGCAUGACAAUACAUAUCUUUAAAUUCUAGAAUUAUACCUGUGUAGCAAGAUGUGUAUGUUUUAAUAUUUACCAGGAAACUAAGGACAAAGUAACUGAAGAAAUUGAAAUUGGUGUCUCCCAUUUCAUGCUGACUGGGGGCUUUUGCUCUCUGAGUGGAGUGGUGGUGGAGACCCUGUGCUCUGUUUCCCCACUAUGACUCUAAGUGUUAUGUUCCCUAAGUUACAUGUGCCAUGCCAUGGUGCAAUUGUACGGUACUUC
rnacentral:lncRNA from 1 species